rnacentral:lncRNA from 1 species
AAAUUGCAUAAGAACAGACGAGAGGCACCGUAAUAAACAUAUACCACCGAGUAUAUGCUCUACCAACUGGUAAGAGUAUAAAUGUCAACACGAUAGAUGCGAUAAAGGCUGUUGUAUUGAAUCCCCAUAUCAUUAGAACGUCUAAUAUGAUUGCAUGCCAAGUAACUUCUCCCUUCAUAGGUUUCGGGUCGGAUACAGCCUCAUAAGUAGCUGUGAUUAUCAAAGCUGUUAUUACUAGAAGAGCGUUCCGCGAUCCGUCUGUCACGUGACUCCGGUAACGUAUCAGUUUCGUUUUGCAAUAUUCCCUAAAUGUGACCGGUUUUCUCAGAAACUCAGACAUUUUCUCAACUUUGGAUAGACAGCAUCUAGUCUUACCACCAGACUUUUUAAUGAUUUUCUCUGUAUCUUUACUCAUGGAAGGUCCAUUGGCUCGUAAGACAUCUAGGGCCGUCAUGUCAUUGUUGUUCUGGAUGUUCCGGUCCAGUGUCAUACAUUUUAACAGCUUUUUCACUACCUGUAUAUAAAUAUGGAUUUAUAUCUAGUUUAUUAAUUAGUAUCAAUAUAAAUAUGAUCAUAAUUUUUUUUUAUUUCCCUUAGAGACCUAUAAAUGUUUGGACUGACCUUUAGAAUGAGAACGUGUGAAUUUGAAAGAGUUCACUCUACAAAUUAAAUGUAAUGUCGUCAUAAAAUGAUGAGUUUGUUAGGAUAGAAUCCACUACAAUUUAAGAUCUAACAGUGUUUCUAGGUCUAUUUCUGAUAGUACGUGGGUUAUAUUGGACCACAUCCCAAAUAGACCAGGAUAGUAAUUAACUUAUUAGCUUAAAGAGAUCAACCACUUAAACACCUUGACAAUGAUUACAGACGAUAAAACAAAAGUUCAAAGAAGUUGAAUGAAUGAAUUUUAAGAGAAAAAAAAAAUGGAAAGUACAUACCUUGUGAUUGUUCGCGUUUGCGGCUAGGUGCAAAGCAGUGUCGCCAUUACGGUCGCGUCUGUUCAGAACGCGAAUCUCGGUGAAUGCACCGGCACUAUUGCGGCGUUUUUGCAUCCACCCUGUGAGAAGUUUGAGCUCUUCAAAUCUAUCAUAUAUAACCGUGAUGUGUAAAGCAGUUUCUCCAUUUACAUUUGCAUCUGUAAUGCUUUCAGGACAUGCUAGAAGAAACUCAGUAAGAAGUUCGACAUCACCGUUCCUUGCCAC